CAGUCGCCGCGGUAAUACGAGGGGGGCAAGCGUUGUUCGGAAUUAUUGGGCGUAAAGGGUGCGUAGGCGGCUUGACAAGUCUUGUGUGAAAUCUAUGGGCUCAACCCAUAGUCUGCAGGCGAAACUGUCGGGCUUGAGUAUGGGAGAGGUGAGUGGAAUUUCCAGUGUAGCGGUGAAAUGCGUAGAUAUCGGAAGGAACACCUGUGGCGAAGGCGACUAUCUGGGCCAACACUGACACUGAGGCACGAAAGCGUGGGGAGCAAACAGGAUUAGAUACCCCAGUAGUCCCUGUCUCUUAUAC
rnacentral:rRNA from 1 species